GCCGUAUAAUUUCCAAUAAAGAAUGGCCAAGAUCAAAAACUGGUAAAAGCACAUGCUGGUGAGAAUGUGAGAAAAGAGAAACAAAACUUCAUUUCUGGUGGGAGUGCAAAGUGCUAUGAUAUCUAUGGAAAUCAAUCUGGAGGUUCCUCAGAAAGUUGGAAAUAGAUCUGCCUGAAGGCCAAAGACUUACCUUCGUGGCCUAUGGCUUCCUAAUUUCAUGUUUCACCCAAUGGCUUAUUAUUUAGAUCUUCCUACUGGGCUUCGACUUUGAUCUUGGUAAGCAUUUGGUCUCUUUGAUUCUCAAACAGUUCUCUGUCCUCACACAGUUUUGAGGUACCGCCAGCCCCAGGGACAUAUUUUUUUCCUUCAAAUUUCUCCAAAUCUGGGGACUUCUAAUAUUUGGGGAACUGAGUGACAAAAGCAAUGUAUGUUGAGCACUUUAGUACCCAGUGUGUAUGAAACUAUGUGUGUUUAGAUAUGGUAAACCUCUAGAACAUACUUUAUUAAAGAAGCAGUAUGCUCUUAGGUUCCCUCUUUGACCUCACUUAACUUUGCCAGCUUUGUGGGCUGCUGUACUGCUGCUCGGAGAACAAUUGGAAACUCCUGGAAUAGAUGCCUCAUGUCUCAUUGCCUUUGCCAGGCUUAGGACACUAGUGGGAGUAGGUUUGAUGGGACAUUAACAAAACCAGGGCUUCUUGUGAACCAUCUGAAUGCAGCACCAUGUUCCAGGACAGUUCUGUAUGAACUUCUCAUAUCCAGGAAAUGGAGCAAGAGGAAAGCCAAGCAGAAGGCAUCCAUUUCCAGCACCCUCAACACCUUUUCACAGGACGGGAUACCUCAGGUCUUCAGUCUUCUACCAGGUGAGCUGGACCUAAGAGCAGCCUAGUUGACCUUCCUACUGGCAUGGCAUGAUUCUGCAACAAUCCUUUUCUUGAUAAAAAAGAACACAUAUGGAGUAGACCCCUUGUUGGUGCAUCCAGAAUCCUUUAGGCCAGGAAACAACCAAGCCACAGAUAGUGAAAAACCAAAGGAAAAAUCACAUUGCCAAAGUAUGGGCUCCAUGUUGGAAGAAAAGGCCCUCAACUUCUAAGGUAUCUACAAUAUCCACCCCCUCAAUUGUGAGCUCUGCAUGUUGGUAUUUUGUGACUCCAGAUGGUAGUCAAAGGCAGAUGUCUUCCCGCAAAAGACAUACAUGAUUUUUCAUCUUGCAUCUCUGAGGGCAGGUUGCAUUAUAGCACACACUCAGCACACCCAGCAUAAGAACACAGAAGCCUCAGAUGACAGAGCCAAAGGGACUCCAUCCUGAACUUAUGGACCCAUUAAAAUUGAAGUUUAACCUGAACUCAGGCCAUUCCACUCCUUGCCCUACCUCCUGAGAUUUAUGAUUGCUAUGAGUAGAGUAUUAUGAUACAACCCCAGCAUCCUCAUGCCUGCACUUGGGAACUCAGGAAGACUGAUAUUAGAGAACUGAUGGCUAUGAGGCUACAAUGCAGUACAGUCCAGGUUGACCUUUUCUCAAUGAUGCCCACUUUAAUUGUCUGGUUGUAUUUGGAAAGGGAGG
rnacentral:lncRNA from 1 species